CAGCCGCCACGGUAAUACGAAGGGUGCAAGCGUUACUCGGAAUUACUGGGCGUAAAGCGUGCGUAGGUGGUGGUUUAAGUCCGUUGUGAAAGCCCUGGGCUCAACCUGGGAAUUGCAGUGGAUACUGGGUCACUAGAGUGUGGUAGAGGAUAGUGGAAUUUCCGGUGUAGCAGUGAAAUGCGUAGAGAUCGGAAAGAACACCAACGGCGAAAGCACUCUGCUGGGCCGACACUGACACUGAGAGACGAAAGCUAGGGGAGCAAAUGGGAUUAGAUACCCCCGUAGUCCCUGUCUCUUAUAA
rnacentral:rRNA from 1 species